rnacentral:siRNA from 1 species
UUCGGUUCGGUUAAUCGGUUAGC